GCGCUGCAUUAGCUAGUUGGUAAGGUAACGGCUUACCAAGGCAACGAUGCAUAGCCGACCUGAGAGGGUGAUCGGCCACACUGGAACUGAGACACGGUCCAGACUCCUACGGGAGGCAGCAGUAGGGAAUCUUCCGCAAUGGGCGAAAGCCUGACGGAGCAACGCCGCGUGAGUGAUGAAGGUCUUCGGAUCGUAAAACUCUGUUAUUAGGGAAGAACAUAUGUGUAAGUAACUGUGCACAUCUUGACGGUACCUAAUCAGAAAGCCACGGCUAACUACGUGCCAGCAGCCGCGGUAAUACGUAGGUGGCAAGCGUUAUCCGGAAUUAUUGGGCGUAAAGCGCGCGUAGGCGGUUUUUUAAGUCUGAUGUGAAAGCCCACGGCUCAACCGUGGAGGGUCAUUGGAAACUGGAAAACUUGAGUGCAGAAGAGGAAAGUGGAAUUC
rnacentral:rRNA from 1 species